rnacentral:lncRNA from 1 species
GGUUUAGAGAAGCAAGCUUCAAGAUUGCUUAAAGAUAGAUUGUAGGACCAAGACACAGUGAAGUUGCUUUGGAAAUGCAAAGCUGGUGCAUGCCAUAAGUAGAAGUUUGUCUCAUAUUGUUUCUCAGCUGAGUAAGUGGCUGAUUUUCAUCUUGGAGUUGUGUAACAUUAUUUCUUUCUGCAGGAAUACCAUUGGGAUACCAACUGCUGAAUUUUCUUGGGAAAAAAAGAAUGCCAUGGGGCACUUCCAUCAUGGUAAUGGGACAGAGUUUACCUCUGAUACCAGAGUGGGGAGCUGUGGUCACCUUGCCUGGAUCAUGCAAAAGGAACUGGAUGUUCUUUCAAGAGGACCGGAAAUAACAUCAGCCCUUCUAUUCCGUCAGGGGACUUGCCCACUGGAAACUGGAGCAACAUUUAUCCUUGAAGAAUUUCCUGCGGUAGUUGUUCUUCCUCUCAAUUCAUGUACCCAUCUGCUAGGACAGAGGACCGCACAUGAUCUACACUGCUGAAUCAGAGUGUAAAGCUCCACCCCCGGGGAAGUUACCAGGGCAUUCCCAAGUAAACCUAAAGGUAUAUUAACCCGCUGAACUCCGUGUUUUGUGGGCUUUCUGCCAUCCAUGAUGGAUCAAGACUGCAACCAUCACUUUGACCAACGGACAUUGAAAUACCAACAAUCAAGUCUUGUCACUGGAUCCACGGGUGGUGAUAUCUUUCUACUCUUAUCCUUCCUUUCUUUUCCUUAUAUUUUCUUAAGUGAUAUUUUUAUGCUUUUAUAUUAUUAUAUUACUUUAGAUAAUAAUAACUAAAAGGGCUACAUACCUGCUCUUCAUUGCAACCAGACUGUUCUUAAAUAAACCCUACAUACAUAUAUAUAAACCUACA